AUUUAAAUAGCUUAAAUCAAAGUUUAAUAAUGAAAAUAUUAAGAUAAUUUAUAAAAUUUUUAAAUU
rnacentral:tRNA from 1 species